UGAAUUGAAUAAUCUGAGGCCGUUGACCUGCACUGAUGUCCUGUUAAUGUUUGCUCACAGCUACUAUUGCUGACAAAUGUCUGCAAAUUACCUUUAUCGCGUUCCAUCCUGGAAAAGAUGUAGCCCAUGGUGCUGCUGCCAUGAGGUGUGUAGAGAUAAAGACAUUUCUCUUCUGCAUUUCCAUUAUGACAGUACCAUGGUUACAUGACACUGGUUUCUAAAUGGUGUUUAUAUGUCAUUUUAGUGAGGUGAGACAAAGAGAAAAUUAGGAAAAGGAGAGAAAUCGGAUAACAGAAGGAAAGUAGAGGAGAACGCUAGGUUUUACUGGCUAAAGUACAGGGAUGAAACAACCUUUCGAAAUAUCAAUACAUCUGCAACACUGUGAGAGUGGCUCCUGUUCAUGCACAGAGAAAAGGAAUUUCUUAUUCAAGUUGUAUACAUAACACAUAUAUAUCAGAAGGUGAUUACCAUGUCCCCAAUGGAGUUUUUUCCUUUGAAGUGGAGACAUGUUCAUGACUAAUGAACCUCUUUGGGUGGACAUGUCAUCCCCUACAAAUGUACCUAUCCCCUUCUCAAAUGUAUUUACUGUCAAAUCUAUCAGUAACUUUAACCUAUAAGUCAAAUUUAAUAUCCUAUAUGAAUAUAAAUAUACAUUCCCACACCUUAUCUUUAAAGUGAUACUGAUACCUAUUAAACCUGUUUUUUUUUUUUUUUUUUUUUUAUACCUGCCAUUGUGUUUAUGUUAUGAGCUUCUAAACUGUUAUUCAAAAAAAUUCCAGUUUGGUCACAUUACUAUUAGGAGCA